UUCUGACUAAUUUUGUUGCAUUUAGCAUUACACUCACCUUUGUACUGUACUCUUAUAUUUUCCUUAUGUAUAUGUAAAUUAAUAGGGGCUCUUUAAAAACUGAUUUUGAUGUUCCUGGGUGUAAGUUUGAAGUGUUAAGCAGUAACCACUACAUAGGAAGGAGGUCUUUCAUGUCACAGCUGUUUUUUGAAUGAAAGGAAGGAAAAGAGGACUCUGGCUUACAGUUGAAUGUGGAUUUUGUUCUUGCAGAAUAAUGUCCCUUAGUGUAAGUCUAGACAACAUGACUUGUUUCUACUAGUUUUACUCAUGUCCCUGUCUGGAAGAUUUUGACUUCUGAAGUUUGGAACUACGUUUUUCUUCUGAUAUAAAAAUGUUAUUUGCAGUUUGUACUAACCAAAAUCAAGCAUUGCUUUCUAUUACACCAACAGUAAAAAAGUAGAUCAAGGCAUAUUAGGUAGGAAAGAAUGAUUUGCAGAAUUUCAUAGGGGGAUUUUUGCUGUUCUUUUCAGAUCAAUCAUGAAAUUUUGGAAGAAGAAAGUUAAUGCAUCCUUGGACUCCUGAAGGAAGAGCUUUCCUAAUGGAACCACAUUCAAGAUGCCAAUUGUCAGUGUGUCAGAUGGGAGGAGAAGGCUGCCUCAUGAGCACGGGAGAUCCUUCGGGUGAUGUGAGGGUACACAACAUAGAGCCAUGCGUGUAGCUGAAUUCUUUGUACAGUUUUUUGUUGGUCAUCUUAUGCUUUUGGAGAGUACUGUGAUGUUUAUUUUGCUCCUGUGAGCAAGUAAACUGGGUCCUUUUAUUUUUUCUGUGGAUAGUACUUUGUUGAUGAUGCUUUGUUUGAUGUUUGUUAGUAUGAACACAUAAACAUAGCAAGGAGGAAAGGUUUAGAGUUUUGUUAAUUCCCUCCCUAUUAUGGGUGACCCAUUAAGCACAGAAACCUAAGACAACCUGUAGGAGGACAUCUGAUAUUUAUUUAUAAAACUAUUUUAUAAAUUAUGUAAGUUAUAUUUAGCGUAGUAAUGUUCCAUCUUCAUCUUUUUCAAAUAAGUACUCAGUUUGCCUUCUCCCAGUGCUGUAUUUUUGCUUAUCCAUGGUUUCUCAACAGGGGUUCACUUGUACAGCAGGAAAGAUGAAACAAUGGAAUAAUGCUGGUUUUUAUGAUUAUGUACAUUAUGUAUGUUUCUAAUAACUCAAACAAUUUUUAUGAUGUUUGUGAAAGUUUGGAAAGCUGACAAAUUAAUUUGAAGUUGCUUUUUGUUUUCAUUUGAGGUAAAUAGUUCUCCCACUAUUUUAAUUUGGCAAAUCUGGUUUUUUUUAAUAUAGAUUUGUGCCUCUUGAAAAGUGUGUUUUAUGUCAGUGUUUGGCACAGACAUAUUGUUAGUCAUCCAUAAAUGAAAAUAAAUGAAAAAUGACAGGGGUUUUGUAAAUGCA
rnacentral:lncRNA from 1 species